GGGAAAAAGUAUUUCCUCAUGCGGUUUUUGCCUUGUAGCAAACCUCUGUUAGAAAAUGUAAAAAACAAAUACCCCAAAUUCAGAACUUCUUAUUCACAAAGCCAUUAAAAUUUUCUUAAACUGAUAGCUGCAUAUCCUAAUGUGAGACACUAUACUGCAAAGUAUAGUAUAAUAUUUACAUUUCAUAUACACAGUAAUUAGGAUGAAAGCAACUAUUUUUAUUGCUCAUUUUCAGCGAUAGGAUUUUUUUUUCUUUACUUUUGCAGUACUGCUGAUUAAACUCAGGCUAGAGUUUGGUAGGCAUGUAUCCUAUCACUAAGCUAUAUUAGAGACAGGUUAUUUUCCUAUAACUUAACCAUAGUGAUAAGAAAAUAAAUAGGAAAAUAGCAAAGAACAUUAUGGUGUCUAACUUAACAAUAUUACAAUGAAGUCAGAGGAUAUAAUACAUGAAGGGAAGGGACUAAGUUUCUAUUAAAUGAAUUAAUUAGAAAAAUAGCAAUUUAUUUAGAAAAUGGUUCUAAAUUUUUUGAUUGGACAAGUGAUUACAAAGUUAAAAAUGAUAGUGCUGGCUGGGGAUAUGGCCUAGUGGCAAGAGUGCUUGCCUCGUAUAC